rnacentral:rRNA from 1 species
UACGUAGGGUGCCAGCGUUGUCCGGAAUUAUUGGGCGUAAAGAGCUCGUCGGCGGUUUGUUGCGUCGGCUGUGAAAUCCCGAGGCUCAACCUCGGGUCUGCAGUCGAUACGAGCAAACUAGAGUGUUGCAGGGGAGACUGGAAUUCCUGGUGUAGCGGUGAAAUGCGCAGAUAUCAGGAGGAACACCGGUGGCGAAGGCGGGUCUCUGGGCAACAACUGACGCUGAGGAGCGAAAGCGUGGGGAGCGAACAGG